rnacentral:rRNA from 1 species
AGUGAACGCUGGCGGAGGCCUAACACAUGCAAGUCGAACGGCAGCACAGUAAGAGCUUGCUCUUACGGGUGGCGAGUGGCGGACGGGUGAGGAAUACAUCGGAAUCUACUUUUUCGUGGGGGAUAACGUAGGGAAACUUACGCUAAUACCGCAUACGACCUACGGGUGAAAGCAGGGGAUCUUCGGACCUUGCGCGAUUGAAUGAGCCGAUGUCGGAUUAGCUAGUUGGCGGGGUAAAGGCCCACCAAGGCGACGAUCCGUAGCUGGUCUGAGAGGAUGAUCAGCCACACUGGAACUGAGACACGGUCCAGACUCCUACGGGAGGCAGCAGUGGGGAAUAUUGGACAAUGGGCGCAAGCCUGAUCCAGCCAUACCGCGUGGGUGAAGAAGGCCUUCGGGUUGUAAAGCCCUUUUGUUGGGAAAGAAAAGCAGCAGGUUAAUACCCCGCUGUUCUGACGGUACCCAAAGAAUAAGCACCGGCUAACUUCGUG